GUGUGUGUGUGUACAUACAUGCCACAGAGGACAAUUUGUGACAGUCAGUGUUCUGCCACUACAUGUGUCCUGAGAAUGGUCAGGCUUGGUGGCAAACACUUUUACCAGAUGAACCUUCUCUCUGGCUUCAGAAAGCAUAUUUUAAUGUUGGCAUUCAGCUUUUAAUAUAAAUGGAUAAAGAUUUCUCUGUGAUAGAAUUAUUUAUUUUUAGAAAUAGGAGUAUAUUAAAAGUUUCUUAAGGUCAAUAGCCAUCAACAGUAUACUUUAUACAAGUAAGUAAAAUGGUCUUUGCAUUUGAGAAAAGGGAUGUGGAUAUAACUUAAUAUUGGAUUUGGUUCUCAUUGGUUCUUGAGCUCUAUCCUAUUAGUACAUCUCUGAAGGAAAAAGUGCAUCUCUCUCUCUCUCUCUUUCUCUCUCUCUCUCUCUCUCUCUCUCUCUCUCUCUCUCUGUGUGUGUGUGUGUGUGUGUGUGGAGGACUGAAUUUACUAAAAUGGGUCCAAUUUCCAUAAACAAUAAAUAAUUCUAAAAUACCACAACUUAAUGAAAUCACCGCAAGUUGGUUUAUUACAUUUUACUUCUUGUAUAUCUGAUUUUUUUAAAGCUAGAGGGAAAAAAAUACCAAAUGUUUAUAGACAGAUGGUUUAAACUUAAUCAGAUUAAAUAUCAACAUGGAAAUCAACUCAAGGUCUGAAAAUUUCAAGAAUGCUUGAAAAACUCUGUAACAGGGAGACUUCAUAAGACAGAGUCAAGCAGAGUGCUCGUAUUUCAUCUGUCGGAUUUAUUCUACAAUUGACUUGUUAAGUGUCCCUCAAAUAAGCUGUCUUGGUAAAUGGUUGCCAAAGUGUAUUUCUACAGUUAGUAUAAAUGUAUUGUUUGACAGUUGGGUUUUGAGAAGUUUAACUAUUCUUUUGCUUUAAAAUCUAGCCUUUUGGCAUGAGAUUGCCCCCCAAACUCUACAUCAUAGAAUAUGUUCUAGGCCGGUGGCUUCCAUUUUCAAGUUCAGGAGGCUGUGAGAUAUUCUUGCUAAUGAUGGAUACUCAUUUGUUAUUAUGUAGAAUUAUUUAUUAGUUUUGUCCUACACCAAUAUAGAACUUCUUUUCUUUUUAUCUGUGGAAGUGAGCAGAGAUCAGUUCAAGCAGGGAAAUCCUUGAACUUUCCCUUCAUCUAGCAAGGCACAAUGGCUGGACAGGCUCCAGUGAACAGUCCUAAUCUAGUGGUCACACUAAUGGUCCUGGUUAAACUAAAUAGGUCAUAAAAUAAACCCAAUCUAGUGGUCACACUAAUGGUCCUGGUUAAACUAAAUAGGUCACAAAAUAAACCCCAAAACUCAUGAACCUGGAAAGAGGACUGGUAGAGAGCAGGAGAAACUGAUAGGAAAGAUGGAGUGGGACAUAAAAGACUAUGGGAGGGAGAAAGUAAUCAGAAGGUAUUAUAUACAGAUAUACAUAUAUGUUCAUCAAAGAACUUAUUUAAAGAUUUUUAAAUAAAGUUUACAACCAAGUCUAUCUCAGUACCAGAGUUUACUGAUACAUGAUAUACUGCUCUAAAAAUCACACACUGCUUUUACUGAUCUUCACUCAAAGCUCUCUCUCCACUAGCUGACAAUGCACAGCUUUGUUCACACUGCUCUGUGUAAAUUCUCUACUUCUCUUCCCCACCCUAUGAACUUGUAUUCAUAGACACUUCAGAAGCUACUCAGCAACUUAGGGAUGGGAAAUCACCACGGGAUGGACCCAGACAUGAAUGUGGAUGGGUGACUUCCAAUAAAUACAUAUGCUUGUUCCCAAAGAAAAAUUGCCUAGAUAGGAUAACUUUAAACAUGGCACCACAUUAAAAAAAAUCAAACAAAAUAAAACAACAACAACAACAACAACAACAAAAAUACCCUAGGAAUGAUUUAGAUUUAAGUUUACCCACCUAAAGGCAGUCAGGUCUACUCUGGUGAUUUAAACCCAGAUAUUUUCCAAAUUCAUCACAUUGCUGACUGCAUCUCACUUUAAUUAGCAGUAGAAAAGUAUUCAAAGUCUUGUCUCUGGAUUGGGGAAAAAUAGGAAUGAAAGCUAUAUAUACUCACUAGUAAGCUUGUUUAUUUUUGUUUUUAUUUUUUGUUUUGCUCCCCAAUCCUAUAUGACUUUAAAAAGCAUUUACUUUCUUCCAUCCAGGCACUAACCUGGCCCAACCCUGCUUAGCUUCUAAGAUCAGACAAGAGCAGGCAUGUUCAGGGUGGUAUGGCCAGAGUACUUCCUUGUUUUUAAGAUUGUCUAUAUUUGUAAUUAUGUGUAUAUGUGUACAUGAGGCCAGGUGUGAGGAUGUGAGAGUGGAUGUGUGGAGUACAGAAGAAGGCUUCAGAUCCUUUGAAACUAGAGCAACAGGUAGUUGCCUGUGUGGGGGCUGGGAAUUGAAUUCAUGUCCUCUAUAAGGGCAAUAAAGUGAUCUUAGACCAUGAAUGGUCUAUGGAGUUUUUGUACUAUAUUUAUUUAUUUAUUAUCUGUAAAACCUCUUGGAGACUGCUGGAUCACUUUAUAUCUACCUGUAUCUCUUUUUACUUCUUAUACCAUAUUUUCAAUAAGACAUAAAAUUUUUGUCUUGUCUUUGUAUCCUUUCUUCCCUGAAGGUAAAGAAAAUGAUGAAAACAGUUGGAUAGCUCCUGUUUCCUCCUGUUGCUUACUCUAUGGGAAGGUAUAUGACUUCUGAGACUCCAAAAUACCAAACUCAGUGGGUUGUGUUCCUGUUCCUCAUCUAGGAAGUAAAUGACUGCAAGAUUAUAUUUUGUUUUUUAUUUUCUAAAAUCUGGGGCACCAGUCUGCCAUACAAUCACUGUGAACAACAAAAGCUGCUGUGUAAAAAGACAGCUCCUGCCACAGAGAAAUGCAACUUCUCCCUGUUUAAAUUUAAAAUGUGUAUGUGUAUAUAUAUAUAUCUUCCAAAUAUUUCAAUGUGAUAACCUAUUUCUAUCUUGCAAAAUGAAACUUUUGGCUUAAGUAAUAGCUUCCUCAAAGUCAUUUUUGGUCUCUUAACCUCAAAAUAAUAGUUCCAAAGGAAAAAAGCUAUCAGUCAAUAGUAGUUUUUAUUUUCUUUUCUAUAAUGCUUUAUUAUAUGUUUUCUAAGUAUUCUGUUGAAUUCAAACAAAGUGAAAAUCAUCAGCUUGGUCAUAUGAGUAUGACCAAAUAAAUUAAAUUAAUUAACAAUACAAAACAUAACUCUGGGUUUCUGUAUUAGUCAGCUUGUUGUUACUAUAUGGAAAUACCUGAGGCCAAAGACGUGGUAAAGAAGUUGUUUUAGCUUGUCAUGUUGGCGAAUGGAAGUCUGAAUGUCCCACUAACCACAGUGAGGUCCUGUGCUAAUGACGUCAUGUCAACAAUGAGAGUAGCUGUGCAUCUGUCUGUGUGUUGCCUCUCUCAUUCUCCUUGUAAAGUCAUUGGGGCUCAGUCAUGAGAGUUCAAGUCCAAUGUCCUAAUGCAAUCUAACCACUUCUCCAUGCCUCAACUUCUAAACAUCAUAGUUAAUUAAGUUCUGUUGCAUCUACAUCGUCUCAGCUCCUCUUGUCUUCCCUCUCUUCCCUCCAAAAUCCACAAUCUCUCCUUUAGUUAUUAUUAUUGCAAACCCCACAGACAUGUAUAUACAACCUUGUGGAUUCAUUUACCAUGACUCAUAGGUCCAUGUGUCCAGUCUAGCCACGUGGGAUUGGACUUCCUAUGCAACCACGAAUCCCUGGAGGGGUCUGCUUCUCCUUCUGGCAGUAGCCACUGACCACCUGGAGCUCUUC
rnacentral:lncRNA from 1 species